rnacentral:rRNA from 1 species
UACGGGGGGGGCAAGCGUUGUUCGGAAUUACUGGGCGUAAAGGGCGCGUAGGCGGCCUGCUAAGUCGGACGUGAAAUCCCUCGGCUCAACCGGGGAACUGCGUCCGAUACUGGCGAGGCUUGAAUCCGGGAGAGGGAUGUGGAAUUCCAGGUGUAGCGGUGAAAUGCGUAGAUAUCAGGAGGAACACCGGUGGCGAAGGCGGGUCUCUGGGCAGUAACUGACGCUGAGGAGCGAAAGCGUGGGGAGCGAACAGG